UGGCUUUUCUGCUCUAAUAAUUUUUUUCCUCUACUUGCUCCGUGUCUGUAUUGCAUUGCUUGCCCUGCAUGUUCAGAAUUCCUUGCCAUCAGAAUGAUAUAUUGCUGCUGAGAUGUUCAGCAGAUUUGCUUUGCCAUUCUUGCUUUCUUGUGGAGAAGGAUUCUGAUGUGGCUCAGCUUUGCAUAUUUGGGUGCUUGCCUGAUAGAUAAAAGAUGUAAUGGAACUUGCAUGAAUCAUUGUGUAGUGCAGUUACCACUGGAAUUUAAUCUGUUUUAGUUAUGUCGGUCAUUAGGUUCUAUUAGUAGACAGGUUCUCAAUAUGCUAUUUUACUACUUUUGGCCAAUUUAGAGAAUUAGAUUUUACCACAUGUCAUCUACAACUAACUGAGAAUAGUGGUUGGCCAUUUGGGUUUGUGAUAAACGUCUUGUGUGUCCAAGAAGUUGAGGCAGCUUUGAACAGUUCAGUGGCACCUUGAUGUUCUUUUCAGGCAAAUGUACUUGCAGCUAAGAUACUGUUGAACACCAUUUGCUGCUUCUGUCUAUUCAUAAUGCUUGCUUGGUACAUGUAUGUUCAACUUGACUGCUACUUUCUACUUGAUAGCUGUAUAUAUUUGCUUGUCUACUUUUGGACACUGUUUGAUGGAAGCUCUGGCGUGUGUCUGAUGAUAUGUUGCACACCAAGGUUCAUCUGCAUAUGUUUUAUAGGUAUAAAUAAGAGGGAGCGAGGGGUGGAGUGGUCUGUGAUGCUUGGGACCAGUAUCUUGGGAUGGAGCAUACUGACACUGCACUCUACAUGGCCUAUACAGUGAAUCAGAGGUUUCAGCAGUAAGCAAAGCCGUGUUGCCGUGAUCACAGCCUCACAGAUAAGGUGCUGGAGUUGUUGUUUCUCUUGCUAUCCUCUAGAUUUGUGUGCCUAGAAGAUAGGAGUAAGAUCAAUGAAUGAACUUGAUCAGUCCAAUUCAUCAGGUCUCUUUGAUCAUCUUGGUAAAUGAUGACCUUGAAACUUGCUAUGAAAAAGGUAAUUCAUGCAGAUCAUUGCUACCUUGCCUAACCUUUUUACAUUGCUAAUAUAAUUAUUAUUGUUGUGUGAGAUCAACUUCCAUUAUCUAUAUCUGAUAUAUUAUGAGCUAUAGAAAGCAGAAUCUUGCCUGUACUUCCACCAACUGGAACGAUGCAUAUCUCAGGUUCAAAUACUGCAAAUUAGUUGUUUAGUAGUAGUUAAAAAAGCUAAUGUCUUUUUUUAUUCGGGGCUCCUGAGGGAAUUUGAUUUAAUUUAAGGAGAUCUUUGGAUAUUAUCAUUUUUCUAGAUGCAUGUGGGGUAGGCUCAUGACCAAGUGCUAAUGAGUCUUUUGUACUGAUGUAGUGAUGACGCCGAUUUCUGUAGAAAGUGGGCAAAGGGGGAAUCAGUCAUGGUGUUGCCUGAUACGUGGUCAGAAUAUAUUGUGUAAGACUAUAGAGCUGCAUAUUUAUGCUACUCAUUGAGAAUGUUAUUAAAAAAUGAUAAUCAGUA